UAGAUUCAUUGGUUAAUACUUAUUUGUCGUAGUUGACGAAUAAUAACGUGGCGAAUACGUAGAUCGCGAUAAGAGCUAUAGUAAAUACCGUUCCUACUAUACUUCCUCGCCUUCUUCGUAAAUGCUAAUUAAGUAUAAUCUAACAACUCCUUAAGUCUCUCGAUCGAGCACGUAUUAAAUUACAUUAAUUGACGUUCUACGACGAAUUACAAAUUAUCGCAUUAUCGUAGAAACGAUUUGCUACUGCGAGAAAAUUCGUUGUAAUAGCAAUAAAAUAAUAAUAGAGUAUAUGAAAGUAAUCCCGCCAGGAAGAGAAGAAAAGUUAUGAGAGAGACGUUAGAGAAUUUCCUGGAUAGUUGGCGCCAACUGUGACCUCCUUUAAUGAGGCAUGCUCGAGGAAGGCACGCGUUUAACUGGCACAAUGUUUCUUGCGGAGAGCUCUACUCACGCUACUUGUCUGUUAGCUGAUCCCCUCUCGUAAAUUAUUCCGCGAGGGAUCAAGGCCCCGCGAGUAACAAUGAACUUUUGGUGCCCUCUCAUAAUGUCGCGUCAUCGCGAACAAAUUCAAUGUCAUCAAAUUGCUUAUGUAUAUCGGACUCUAUGUCUGCGCAAAUAGUAGACAAAUAAAAAGCGCGUGAUACGAAUUUUUGAUGAAACAAUGCAACGUGGUAAAAUGCAUUCAUCCAUAGGGACGCUUUAACGAUGAUAACAACCGACCUCUCGAGAGACGCUACGUCGAUAUUUCGCGUGAGAUUCAAUAUUGUAAAUGAAAAAAAGAUGAAAAAAAAAAAACAGAGAAGAAGAAGAAGAAGACUCUCGGCGAUCGCAUUAUUCAGAUUAGGGCAUCGACAGAGAACGAACGGCUGCGUGGAUAUGUGAGAAGAAACAUGUCCUCUAUUUCUUUCUCUCACAUGAACGCAGUGUGUGAGACGUGUGUAGACAUUUGUAUCGGUAGAAGAUAAUGCAUCUGAUCGUGUGCACAAGCAAAGAAUGUUAAUGGUGGUUCGGUUUUGUAUGCAGGAAGUGACGGCCGUCUCUUGUGUCGUGUAGCGGGGCCUGGCGCCCGGUGUCCGCUCGGAAAAAAGCCCCCUAACGUAAAUGCUGCGAUAAAGAGAGAAAGAAAAAGAAGAAAAGUGGGAGGGAGGAAUAUGAAAAAUUGACGGAUUCACCCAUAGCCGCGAACCGAGGAGAGCGGCAGCAAGUUGCUCUUUUAAAUCUCAUCGUAAACACGCGUUCACACAGUGGCUCUCAUAUUCAUUUAUAGAACUAUUUUAUUUUAAGGGAUGCUUUAUUCAAACUUAACAAAUAUAUUUCUUCUCGUCGAUAAUUAUCUCUACUUGAAAAAGAAUGAAAUAAAAUAAAAGUAGAUAAGUCAAUUUUUGUUCAACUUGACUUAAUUAUAAGCGUUACUUCUCCUUGAU